rnacentral:lncRNA from 1 species
CCGACUGUCGGGUACCAUUGCUAGAUGGUUACUUCAAUUGGUGCAGGAGUUUAUUCCUGUGCUACUGACUUAGGUUUGAACCUAUGAGAUCACACACAUUAGAGUUCAUGAUCCAAUCGGAUGGUUGAUCAACGAUUAAGAAUCAGUCUAGGAUUAAAUGAUCAAUCUUUCUCCUACUUCUCAUCUUUAAAAAAAUCCAAAUCAAGAAGAAGGAGGUAUCUGAUUGACCAUUGAAGAAAGAUCAGCACAGUACUAGCAUACUAUGCUGAUUUUCUGGACCAAGACUUCUAAUCGUGAUUCGUGGGCUUAUGUGGAUGACUCCUAAAGGUCA